UUUCUUUGGACGGGAUACACUAUGAGGUUUUUUCAAAAUGGUAUAAGCAUUUACCAUUUUGAAAAAACCUCAUAGUGUAUCCCGUCCAAAGAAAUCCUUAG